AGGAAAAAGUGGGUUUUAAAAAAUUAAUUUUAUCACAUUAAUCAGAUGUAACUUUAGUUAAAACUGAAGCCAAAAUUCCAGCAUUUGUCAAAAUUCUAUAUAGAAGGCAGUCCCAGCUGUCUGAAUAGGAUUAUGUACACAUAAGCUGUAUGAAAUGAGCUCAUGCCUCAUGAUGUCAAGUUCUGUUUUUUGUCUGCAGUUCUUUUGUUUAUUCUCAGUUGCCAGACUUUAAAAGACUUCACUGUUUACCAUUUUAUAAUUAAGGUUUAAUUGUGUCUAUUUAAUGUGUUAUUCUGUUCUGUUCUCACAGAUGCAAACUUCGUUUUUUAAAAACAUGAUAUCUAAAAAGCAGAAUGUGCAGAGUCUUUUCUUUGCCAAGCAAAACAGUUUCCACCACGAGGCCCAGUAUGGUGGUGAGAAGAACCAGAAGGCACUCAAAAUUUAGGCCAGAAGGAUACGGUCUUCUAAGAAGACUUCAAGGCUGUUAUAAAGACCCAGUGGUGGGAGAAACCUGAUCCGGUAUAGCGGGGCCAGAAGAAGCUGCGGGACCAUGCCGCGGGGACAAGGCAAGGAGUUUCGCCAGGAUGUUGAUCUCCUGGUUAUCUACACUUCCGCCUCAGUAUGAUCUGAAUUAUUAAUGAGAAAGAUUAAGAUACAGAUUCCUUCCUUCAAGUGCCUUAGUAGUCACAGACAGGAGGUUAAUUAUAAGACUAAAAGCAAUCUUGGGUUGUUAGAAGAACUUAAAGGAAAACACCUUUCAACUUCUUGUUAUCAAUCAAUCAUUUUUGUCUUUAGAAAUCAAGAAUUUGAACAAUAACAGCUGCUUUCAGAAAUAAACCGCGACUUUGUGCAGCGUGUAUUACCUGA
rnacentral:lncRNA from 1 species